AGGGCCAUAUUUUUCAUAUUGAAAUUUAUAACCAAACUUUUAUACAAAACACAAACCAGAGCACUCUACAACUUUUUACUCUAAACUUUAAUCACAUCAAAAAGGAGAUCUCAAAAUAAGAUAAACUCUCAGCCAUCCGGGCCGUACUCAAGGCCCUUCUCGGGAUUAUCUUCUUCUCCCAAAAAUCUUUCUCCUUAAGUUUCACCUCCGAGUUCUCCUUCUCAGACUCCUCCUCAGCUCCUCAGCGGUGUCCUGAAAUGUUUUUCCCCAAAUCGGGAUGAGACUACGUCUCAGCGAGUUCUACCCCACUAAGCCCGAUUAGUAAACUAUUAUACUAUAGGCUGCCUAAACACGCACAGGGCAGAGGACCUACCUUGGCCUCAGAUCUCACCUGCAAGUCAGUACAAUUCACAAUAGGCACCCAUUUACUCCAAACAAAUCGAACCAGUCGAUUACAUGUCACACAAAUCAUUCUCCACGGAGGAGUAUCUAAAAGCGAGGCCACGUGCAUUCUCUAGGACGACAUUCCAAGUCUCCGAGUCCACGUGCCUCGAACCUUGGGCCCACGUGCAUUCUCUCAGGCGACCUCUUCGCCAAAGUGAUACAUCAAGUCACCGAGCCCACGUGCCCUUUUAGAUGCCUGGGCCCACGUGCAUUCUCUUAGGUGCUAUCUCACCAAAGUGAUGCAUCAAUUCACCGAGCCCACGUGCCCUUUUUACGAUGCCCGGGCCCACGUGCAUUCUCUUAGGUGCUAUCUCACCAAAGUGAUGCAUCAAUUCACCGAGCCCACGUGCCCUUUUAGAUGCCUUGGCCCACGUGCAUUCUCUUAGGUGCUAUCUCACCAAAGUGAUGCAUCAAUUCACCGAGCCCACGUGUCUUUUUAGAUGCCAAACUCUGUCACCGAGCCACGUGCAUUCUCCAGGACGACAUACCGAGUCUCCGAGCCACGUGCAUUCUCUCAGGCGACCUUUUCGCCAAGGUGACAUAUUCAACCACUGAACUCACGUGCAUUCUCUAGGUGACAUUCCAAUUCACCGAGCCACGUGUCCUCUUUCAAGAGAUUACCAAUCUUCUUUCAAUACCGACAACCAAUGCUCAACGAUUUCUCAAUCAAAUAAUUAAAUCAACUCAACAAAGCAUUAUAAAUGCUGAAUAACAUACUUGGCCAAUCACCAAUCAAUAAUUCAAUCUCAAUCGAUUCCAAUCAAUUUAGGGUAAAUCCCUAAAAUAUCACAAUUUAUUCAAUUCCAUACAACGUAGAGCUCAAAUAAAUAAACGGACUGCGCCACGACAAUCAGCACGAGAUUUCGGUAGUCGGCCAUCAACAUCUUAAUUUCUGAAAAAUAAUUAAUUAAAUAAUUAAUUUCGAAAAUUAAAUAAUUAAUAUUAAAAAUUCAAUUUAGCUCAAAAUAAAGCCCGAUUAAAUAAACGGACUUCACCACGGUCAUCAGCACAAUAUUCCGGUCCCGGGCCAUCUCAGUUGAAUUUUCAGAAAAUAAAUAAUUAUUUAAUUUAAUUCCGAAAAUUAAUAUUUAAAUACUAAAAAAAUCCACUUAGGCCCGAAAAGCCUAAUUGGAGCCCACUAAGGGUCGGGAAAAAAUCCCGAGGCACUUCCAAUAAUUAGUAGACCACGUCUACUUGUUAAUUGCGCAAUCAAUUUAUCUAAAUCACAUCACAAUUGACUAAUAAUUGCUAAUUUAUUCUAAUCUAACAACCUAAACAUAAUUAAUUAAAUCUAAACCAACCUUAAGCAUAAUUAGCCAACUAAUCCAGGAUUAGUGAGAUUACUCACCAAAUCGCGCGCAAAUCGGAUCAAUCCGACGGCGGCGACGCGAGGAACGAUUGUUCCCAAAGCGACUCACGGAUCCGGGGCCCGGAAACGGCCCAAAAGCGGGCCUAAAGCCGCUGGAAACCCAUUUCGUGGGUUGCUGGACGGGGCUGAUCGGGGCUGCUCCGGCGGCGGUGCGGAACAGGGGCGAAACAGAGCUGGGCCGAGCGGGAGAGGGACGCCUGGGCGCGCGCGGACGGCGGGACGGUGGCGGGCGCAUGGGCGGUCCGGCUCCGGUGCGGUGGCGAGACGGGCGGCAACGGUGGCUGGCUGCCGCUUUCGAUCUUCUUCAGCUUCUGGUUCGCUCCUUCCACGAAGAAGAAAGAAGGAGAAGAAGAAAGAGUUCGGUCACGUGGGGUGGGGAGAAGAGAGAGGAGAGAGAAGAAGAGAUAAGAGAGAGGAGUUUUGAC
rnacentral:lncRNA from 1 species